ACAGAGUCUGAGAUGCACACAAACGUUAACCCAGUUGGAAUCUUUUAAUUCCUUAAACAAGCUUGUUGUUGCGGUGGAGUUUACCUUCCUGUAACGGGCUCUGGCAUCUUUGAAACGACGACUCAAGCUGUUAACUCGGUCAAUGACCAGCUGCCAGGUGAGGUAGUUCUGCAUUGUUCUGCACACAUGUCCAUAUAUUUGUGCUAUCAUUGAAUCUUAUUUCUUUUUUCUUUGCAUGUAUAUUUUAUGCUGACCGAACACUGUGUCUGGAGAGGACUUCGUUCAUCUUGUCCAGGAUACUCUUGACCACUGGGAGGUAUACAAGGGUUCCGUUCCUCUGGUGGCGACGUAACACAAUUUUGCACGUCCAACACUUGCAUCAUUUCCUCCCACACACCCUCAUUGUCCUGCGUCAAGUUCCUGUCUUCCCGGGUCAUCUUGGCGAUGGAGACCAUGAAGUGGAGAGCGCCUGAAAAGCAGGAGAAAACACAUAGCCACAGGCUUUGUAUGAGUGUGCAGAUGUGUAGAGGACCACCAGGCCGGCCAGGGCGCAGCUGACCAGCAGCAGGAGCACAGACAGACCAAUUUCUGCCCCCGUCCAACCACGUUUUCCAGGUUUACUCGAUUUCUCCAUGAUGUCCAUUUGACUUUCCG